rnacentral:rRNA from 1 species
AUGGUUGUCGUCAGCUCGUGUCGUGAGAUGUUGGUUAAGUCCCGCAACGAGACGCAACCCCUACGUUUAGUUGCUAACGCGUGAAGGCGAGCACUCUAGACGAACUGCCGUUGACAAAACGGAGGAAGGUGGGGAGUGACGUCAAAUCAUCAUGCCCCUUAUGUUCUGGGCUACACACGUGCUACAAUGGCCGGUACAGACGGACGCAAAGCCGCGAGGUGGAGCAAAUCCUAAAAAGCCGGUCUCAGUUCGGAUUGCAGGCUGCAAUUCGCCUGCAUGAAGUCGGAAUCGCUAGUAAUCGCAGGUCAGCAUACUGCGGUGAAUACGUUCCCGGGCCUU